CCUCAAGGAAGCAAAUUUGGCAAAUGUGAUGAAAGAAUUACAAGAGAUAAAGACAUGAUGAUGUCAUCGCGGAGGCCUGGUGCUCCUCAACCCUCGGACAGCAGUGUAUUCUAUACAACAUCAGAGUUUCUGGAUACCGAAGCGACACCGACUCCGUGCACGGAGAGACGCCCGGGCAGACGCCGACCUCCGCGACGCCUGCAGGAAGGCAACCUGGCGAAGGUGAAGCGGAUCCUGGACGCAGGGUGGACUGACGUCAAC